rnacentral:lncRNA from 1 species
AUUGAACUGAACCAUUGGGAAUUAGAAUUUGUAAAAGUUAAAUUGAGAUUGGAUGGAAAAUAUAUAGUUUCAAUUUUUAAACAUAAUUUAUGCCACCAAAUGCAAAAGCUAUUAAUGAGGCCGAUAUGCAUGUGCUGAAUAAAAAAAAUUAUGAAAUAUUUACGAUUAAUUACAAUUUCCUCAGAAUAAAUAAUACAGAUAUAAAUUGACGGGUUAUAUAUCAAAUUCAUUAUAUAUUGUUUGAAUUUUAAUUAUAUAAAUUUAUUUAUUUUGUUCGAAAGUAUUGGAAUGAUUAUUAUAUAAUUUUGUUCUUGUAUGUCGACAUAGAAUUUUUUUUUAUUCAUUCCUG